rnacentral:rRNA from 1 species
UACGUAGGGGGCAAGCGUUGUCCGGAAUCAUUGGGCGUAAAGCGCGUGUAGGCGGCUCGGUAAGUCCGCUCUGAAAGUCCAGGGCUCAACCCUGGGAUGCGGGUGGAUACUGCCGGGCUCGAGUCCGGAAGAGGCGAGUGGAAUUCCCGGUGUAGCGGUGAAAUGCGCAGAUAUCGGGAGGAACACCAAUGGCGAAGGCAGCUCGCUGGGACGUGACUGAUGCUGAGACGCGAAAGCGUGGGGAGCAACAGG